AGGGCGCAGGCGGUGCGCCGCUGGACUGGCUGCAGGACCCGCGGCUCUCGGCGCGGGUGUGUGGGGCUGCGCUCACCCCACGAUGCUCAAGCGCUGCGGCCGACGCCUGCUGCUGGCUCUGGCGGGCGCGCUGCUCGCCUGCCUGCUGGUGCUCACGGCCGACCCGCCGCCGCCCCCGGUGCCCGCCGAGCGCGGCCGGCGCGCGCUGCGCAGCCUGGCGGGCCCCGGGGGGGUGGCCCCGGUGCCAGGGCUGGAGGCGGCGCCGGCGCCCGGCGCGCUCACACGCGAGGUGCACAGUCUGUCUGAGUACUUCAGCCUGCUUACCCGCGCGCGCCGAGACGCCGGCCGACCGCCCGGGGGCGCCUCCCGUCCCGCCGACGGCCGCCUGCGGCCCCAAGCGGAGCCGCUCGCGCCCCACGACGUCUUCAUCGCGGUGAAGACCACCAAAAAGUUCCACCGCGCGCGCCUCGACCUGCUGCUGGAGACCUGGAUCUCGCGCCACAAGGAGAUGACGUUCGUUUUCACCGACGGGGAAGACGAGGCCCUGGCCCGGCGCACGGGCAACGUGGUCAACACGAACUGCUCGGCCGCCCACAGCCGCCAGGCCCUGUCCUGCAAGAUGGCAGUGGAGUACGACCACUUCAUCGAGUCAGGGAGGAAGUGGUUCUGCCACGUGGACGACGACAACUACGUCAACGUGCGGGCCCUGCUGCGCCUACUGGCCAGCUACCCCCACACGCAGGACGUGUACAUCGGCAAGCCCAGCCUGGACAGGCCCAUCCAGGCCACGGAGAGGGUCAGCGAGAACAAGAUGCGUCCCGUCCACUUCUGGUUCGCCACGGGCGGAGCCGGCUUCUGCAUCAGCCGCGCGCUGGCCCUGAGGAUGAGCCCCUGGGCCAGCCCUUCGCUCCCGCAGCGGGGGCCGCUUCUCGAGCACGGCCGAGCGGAUCCGGCUGCCGGACGACUGCACGGUGGGCUACAUCGUGGAGGCGCUGCUGGGCGUGCCCCUCGUCCGCAGCGGCCUGUUCCACUCCCACCUGGAGAACCUGCAGCAGGUGCCGGCCUCGGAGCUCCACGAGCAGGUGACCCUGAGCUACGGCAUGUUUGAGAACAAGCGGAACGCGGUCCACAUGAAGGGGCCCUUCUCGGUGGAGGCCGACCCGUCCAGGUUCCGCUCCAUCCACUGCCACCUGUACCCGGACACGCCCUGGUGUCCCCGCGCCGCCGUCUUCUAGCUGCCUCCGCCGAGACCCCGUCCCCAGGCGCCCCUGGUAUCCAAAGGGCCCGGGGACCCCCAUUGUUGUGCCCCCCGGUCCCGCUGUUUGCGGCUCCCGGGGCCGUGCCUCCGUCUGCCCGUGUGCUGGGUACCCUGUCUGCGUCGCAGACCGCUGGCCACCCCGCUCUGCCCCCGAGCGGGCCCUGGGCGGGCUCACGUGAGAGGCUGCUGCUCUGAGGGCAGCGUGACGUUGCUCUUGUGGGGUCUCCGGGCUGCCCUGCCCCCCUGUGCUGGGCCGGCACUCGCCUCUGAGCCCCCGGGACAGCUGAGUCCUGCAAGAGGCUGGGUUUGGGGGGCGGCGGCCCAGUCUCCUCCCGUUCCCGCUGAGCUCUGGCCUGGGCACCGUGGCUCAGGGUGACAGCGGCCCCCAUCCAGCCCGGUAGCCCCACGGAGCCCCCCGGGCCCCACCAGUGGCUGUGCGGCCCGGCCCGGGGUCCGGUGGCUUCCCCAGCCCUCUGGGCGGGGGUCUUCCCAACCCGCUCUCUUCUUUGUCUCCCCGCGAGGGGAGCCAGAGCCGAGCACGCUCUCUCCUCCCCAGAGCAGAGAGAGAGUCGCCCACAGUGGGCGUGCCUGUACAUACCGUGACAGUAUUUUUUACUGUGCUUGUUUUUCAAAAGCGGGUGAGUGAAAAGGUGUUUUCGUCUCUGUUUUCGGGGCGCGGGGGAGGGUGUUGUCUCUUUUCUGUGGACCAGAAGAAGCAGAAGUCACACUUGGGAUCGCCUCUGUGGCUGCAGCCGAGACGUCCACGCCCCGUAUGUGUGUGUGUGUGUGUGUGUGUGUGUGUGUCCCGGCACCCACUCUCCCCGGCGACCUGCCUCCCGCCGCCCGCUGGGCGCACCUGGCCCGGGCGUGUGUUCUGUCUCCUGUUGAUCCUUCUGCGAAGACAAAGCGAGGAAAGCGGACAAUAAGGGAAAAGUUCUCAGGGAAUCCUAGUGUGGUUGCUACGGUGACGUCCUUUGCUGUGAAUAAAGGUGCUCUUCGGGCCAUGUU